rnacentral:lncRNA from 1 species
UAAAGAACUUAUACAUACCAAAAGAAGACAGUCUAAAUCAGGGUCGGACAAGGCCGGAAGACUAGAUAAUGGUAGUUGAACCAGUUGGUAUCGGCACCGCAAGCCCCGCAAGCCGAGCCGUGGGGGCCCCACGUAGGGCCUCGACUAUAUGACCAGCCCGACGCUGGUCUCAAUUUAAUAUUUACUGUCUUAAAAAAUCAACGCUAUGUUGUGCAGCCAUAUAGAAAUUUGACGAUCACUGUAAAUACUUUAAGCUUGUACAGAACGUAAUCCGCCGCAAAAGUUAUACAAGCCGUGUGAUGGAAAGUAUUUAAAAAUUUGAAUAGGUGCACUACCAUACGAGGUUUUGCCUUCAGGGAAAGGCAAGAAAAACUUAAUUUUGGUUGACGGUAAUACAUUUUCGGUGCAAGGUCAAAACUUGUAUAUUUACUACUGCUCUAGAAAGUCCAGCAUUGGAUGUAAAGCAAAAGUUAGGUUAAACAAAAACCAGUUAAUUUAUAAUGCAGACUUGGUUCAUAACCACGAACCGCCGAUAUUACACCGAACCAGUUGUGGGACAGUUUUAAAAUUAACAACAAGGCGAAAACACUAAUUUUAUUAUUAUGAUUACUAACUUAAAACAGUUCUAUGAUUUAUGGUUUUGUUGACCGACUUCAUAAAGAAGGAGGUUCUCAUACAUAUCGACCCCCACGAGAAAGACCCCACGAAAAAGGAGCCCCAUUCAAUGCACCAUUCUUCGAUUAAUUCCUAAUGGAAGGUUAGAAGUAUUUGCCAAUAGUAAUAGUUGCCUAAUGGUGCAUACUAACUAUUGCAUAAUUAAUGCAAUGGAAGGGAAUUAAAAUGAGCAACUGCCUUAUUGAGAUAUUACUUUAUUAAUAUUUUUAAUUGUAUUAUUAAAUUUUUUUGUUAUUGUAUUUUUUUUUUAUAUAUGGAUUUAGUUGUACACAAUAAUUUAAGCCAUUUAUGUAUUUGUAUAUUUCGAAAUUUAAUUAGAAUUAGAACUAGGUAAUAUAAUAAUAAUUUUGACAAAUUACGUACCAUUUUAACGGAUCUACAAAGAUUGGUGCGACUAGACCAGCAUUUGUACUAGAUGGACUCAGUUGAAGGAAACCUUUGCCCAGCACUGGGCUAUCAUAGGCUAUGAUUGAUUAAUUGAUGUACCACUUAUACUUAAUUUAAUUAACAAAUGUUGAAAGCGUAAU